AACGAACGCUGGCGGCAUGCCUAAUACAUGCAAGUCGAACGAUCACUUCGGUGGUAGUGGCGCACGGGUGCGUAACGCGUGGGAAUCUGCCCUUGGGUUCGGAAUAAUGUCGGGAAACUGACGCUAAUACCGGAUGAUGACGUAAGUCCAAAGAUUUAUCGCCCAGGGAUGAGCCCGCGUAGGAUUAGCUAGUUGGUGGGGUAACGGCCUACCAAGGCGACGAUCCUUAGCUGGUCUGAGAGGAUGAUCAGCCACACUGGGACUGAGACACGGCCCAGACUCCUACGGGAGGCAGCAGUAGGGAAUAUUGGACAAUGGGGGCAACCCUGAUCCAGCAAUGCCGCGUGAGUGAUGAAGGCCUUAGGGUUGUAAAGCUCUUUUACCCGGGAUGAUAAUGACAGUACCGGGAGAAUAAGCCCCGGCUAACUCCGUGCCAGCAGCCGCAGUAA
rnacentral:rRNA from 1 species